GGCGGGCGAGGGGGGUCACGCUGGGUGCCGUCCCCCAGAGGGACCCAAAGCUGCCGCCAAAUUCACAGGGAGGGCUGGGUGUAGAGUGCUAAAACCUGCCGAGUUACUCGUUUUUAUAGGUAUUGGUAAAGAAUAGGAAUUUGUCUCUAAAUUCAACUGGGGAGAAACCCUCUCUAUCCACUCGUUUGUUUACAGGAACGCAGGAAACUCCGACUAGAGAUGGGUAGCAGUUUUGAAGAUAUUGCCGUAACGUUUUUAUCUAGGAAUGGACCAAGCUGUGCCCUGAAACCAUCAGAAGCGCUGCAGGGGCUGAAGGCAAUAGAAAGAGCUGUCUGGCACCUUUUGCCUCCGUUCUCUGCCAGUCCCCAAAUCGUGUCGCAGCCCCGGAAGAGGCGCUUGUCAUCCCGAGGGCCAAAACAAAGACCUGUAAAAUCCCAGCUCUGCCUUGUGUUUCGUGUGGUUUUUUUACUUCAUAUUUAUGUCCUUACAUAGAGCAAGGAAAGGAGAAAUGUGACUGGUUCCCACUCUUGCUGUGCCAAGGCUUAUUUUAAAGGCUGCUGUAUUUAUAUUUUCUUUUCCCACUCCAAGCUUGACUUUUCCCCUCGUUUUUCGAGGUCUGCUGCAUUGGGUGUGCCAAGGAGGGCUGGGUUCCUCAGCAGGGGUCUUAGGAGUUGGCGCCGAUUCUGCUUUUUCUGAAGGUGUAUCACAGUGUGCUAGCAGAAUGACAGUUUUCUGCACCGGAAAGCUUUCCCUCAAUCAGUGCACGUACGUGUUUGACUUGUGGAACCAGACGGACUAGGAAAAGCCAGCAGCCGUAGCAGAUUUCUGUUUGCUCUGUGUCUGCGAGAAGCGGGCUGUGUGCUGGACAGGGAGAGGCGCUGUUGGAGAGUGGCAUCAGCGCCAGGUGUGAGUGUGAGGAUGAUGGGGGCUCGGAGCAGCCCAGGUGUGGGUGUGAGGAUGAUGGGGGCUCGGAGCAGCCCAGGUGUGAGCUGUGAGGAUGAUGAGGGGCGGGCUCCUGCCGGGGGGAGGCCGUUUUAGGGGGAGGCUUUGCCUCAGCUGCCUUUUGCAUGGAGCUGCUGAGUAGAGGGGUUUAUGGGGGGCUCCCGGGGCUCUCUCAUGGAAGGACUGCGAGAGCUUCUCCCAGCGUCUGGGGCAACACCUGGAUACGCGCUGGAAACGCGGAACAUCGCUUAAAGGAGGUGCCGAGGGACGAAUCUCUGCGCCGGGAAGCAGCAGCCGAACAGCUCCGUGCUGGAGAGUGGGAGAAAGGUCCCCGCUGGUUGCCGUGUCCUCGGUGGGCAGAGAGCUCUGACCUUGGCCGGAUGGGCUGCAGCCAGUUGUGAAGCACUGAGCGGAGAUGUGCCCGGGAGGAAAAGCAGAGCCAAUCUCUGAGAAGUGACACGCGAGCUCCGGUGAGGACGGCUGCUCCCCCGGCCUUGGUGUGGGACCUCCUGAGCUCCCGUUCCCGUGCUGGGAGUGUUUCUCCUCUCAUCCGGCCAAGCCAGAGGCCUCCUAGGGAACGAGCGGGGCAGCGUGAAGACUGAAAGCGUAAGAAGAUGUGGAGGGAAACAGAGAAUGUGACAGGAGCACCGAACGCACAAGUGCACCAAUUUUGCUUUUUGCUUGGAUUUCAACUCAGAAGUUGUAAGGAAUUUGGGAAUGAGAAGGGACAUUUCAGAAGGAAGGAGAAGGAAGAAAGAAG